GCACGUAGUUAGCCGGUGCUUCUUCUGCAGGUACCGUCACUCACGCUUCGUCCCUGCUGAAAGAGGUUUACAACCCGAAGGCCGUCAUCCCUCACGCGGCGUCGCUGCAUCAGGCUUUCGCCCAUUGUGCAAUAUUCCCCA
rnacentral:rRNA from 1 species